rnacentral:rRNA from 1 species
GAUGAACGCUGGCGGCGUGCCUAAUACAUGCAAGUCGAGCGAACGGACGAGAAGCUUGCUUCUCUGAUGUUAGCGGCGGACGGGUGAGUAACACGUGGAUAACCUACCUAUAAGACUGGGAUAACUUCAGGAAACCGGAGCUAAUACCAGAUAAUAUUUUGAACCGCAUGGUUCAAAAGUGAAAGACGGUCUUGCUGUCACUUAUAGAUGGAUCCGCGCUGCAUUAGCUAGUUGGUAAGGUAACGGCUUACCAAGGCAACGAUGCAUAGCCGACCUGAGAGGGUGAUCGGCCACACUGGAACUGAGACACGGUCCAGACUCCUACGGGAGGCAGCAGUAGGGAAUCUUCCGCAAUGGGCGAAAGCCUGACGGAGCAACGCCGCGUGAGUGAUGAAGGUCUUCGGAUCGUAAAACUCUGUUAUUAGGGAAGAACAUAUGUGUAAGUAACUGUGCACAUCUUGACGGUACCUAAUCAGAAAGCCACGGCUAACUACGUG